UGCCAGCAGAAAGGCACUAACGCAUGCUUUGUUUAUCACUGCGAGUGGCGGUCUACGAGAAAUAAAAACUGGACAUUUUACACCAAUAUUGCAGCGGUUACCAAAGAACAAUUAAAAAAUAAAAGGAAUUGGCAAAGGAACUGCCAACUCGUUCAAGUGAACUGACAUUUCAGGCUGGUGCAGGGACGUUUGUAUUAGCUAGAUUAUACUGUUGCCGCUGGCCAUUUUUGCAAUGCUGCCGGCGUAUUACA